AUGAAGAAGAAGGGUGUUAGCAUUGUUGCAUUGUGGGAAAGAGCUUCAAAGGCAAAUAAAAGAACUUCCACAUCUACACCAAAUCCUCCUGAUGUUGAAGUUGAGAGCAGUAGCAUUCCUCCUGAUGUUGAGAGCAAUCUGCAACUGGCACUAGUGCAAGCACAUGAACCGGAUGAUAGUCACACAGAACCUGAGAGUGGCUCCCCAGCCCCAAUUAUAGAAGAUGAUGAAGCAAAUGAUGAAGUUCAAUUUGAAGUAGAUUUGGACGCACUUGAGUCAGAUCCCGGGAAACGGAUCCCCAUCUCUAGAUACAAUGUCAAUGACCAGGAUAAAGUUAGAAGGAGAUACAUCGAGUUGGGGGCAUGUCAACCAAAGAAACAUAAUUUUGAGUACAGAGACAUAAGUGGAUUACAACGUCGCUUUUGUCCUUCUUGGUUUAAGGAUUACAAGUGGCUUGAGUAUAGUGUGAACAAAGAGGCUGCUUUCUGCUUUGUUUGCUAUUUGUUCAAGGAUAAAACAAAAAGCCCCGGUGGAGAUUCAUUUGUUAAGGGUGGGUUUAGAAACUGGAACAUGAAAGCAAGAUUGACAAGGCAUGUUGGUGAUGUAAGUAGUGCUCACGCUGAAGCUCAAGAGAAGUAUGAUAUGUUCACUACACCACAAAUAUCAAUUCGGGAGUCUGUUGCUUCCAACACCUCACAAUACAAGGCUUUGUAUAAACAACGUUUGACAUGGACACUCAAGUGUGUGAGAUUUCUGUUGCGCCAAGGCUUGGCAUUUAGAGGACAUGAUGAAAGUGAAGACUCACUAAAUAAAGGAAAUUUCCUUGAGCUUCUAAAUUGGCUAGCAGGAAAUUUUGAAGAGGUUGACAGGGUUGUUCUCAAGAAUGCUCCACGGAACUGCAAGAUGACUCACCAUGAUAUACAACAAGAGGUGAUAAAAUGUUGUGCACAAGAGAGUACUAAACUAGUCAUUGAAGAACUUGAUGGUGGUCAUUUUGCAAUACUUGCAGAUGAGUCUAGUGAUGUGUAUCAGAAUGAACAGUUGGCUGCUUGCUUGCGUUAUGUUGAUAAGAAAGGAAGGGCGGUUGUAAGUUUUCUUGGUCUUGCUCAUGUUGAAGAUACUACCUCUCAGACACUAAAAGCUGCAAUUCAGAAAAUGCUUAUGGACUACAAUUUAACCUUUGCAAUGGUUCGUGGGCAAGGAUAUGAUGGAGCUAGUAACAUGAGAGGUAAUGCUAAUGGCCUGAAAAAACAGAUUAUGGAUGAGUCCCCUUCUGCCUACUAUGUUCAUUGUUUUGCCCAUCAACUACAGUUAACUCUUGUUGCUGUUGCUAAGGAGAGUGGUGAUUGUACUUGGUUCUUUCAGCAGCUUGCACACUUGUUAAAUGCUCUUGGCAUGUCUUGUAAAAAGAUGAGAAUGCUUCGGAUAGCUCAGGCUGAAGAACUCAUUAAUGCAUUGGAAUUGGAAGAAGUAGAAACAAGGAGUGGGCUGAAUCAGGAAAUGGGUUUGGGAAGGCCAUGUGAUACACGUUGGGGCUCUCACUUCAAAACUGUGAACCAUGUCAUCUCUAUGUAUGGUGCACUACGACGAGUCCUUCGCAAGAUUGGAGACGAGUACCAUGGUGCGGAGGCACAAGCGGCUCUAUCCAUAGAGACAAUAUUUCGAUCAUUUGAGUUUGUUUUCAUGGCACACUUGAUGCAAGAAAUAUUUGGAUACACAGAUGAGUUGUGUAGAGCUUUGCAAAAGCAAGACGAAGAUAUUGUUCAUGCUAUUGAGCUUAUUGGUGACACAAAGUAUUACUUGGAGGCUUUGAGGACCGAUGCUGGAUGGGAUGAUUUUCUCACAAAGGUCACAUCUUUUUGUACAAAGCAUAAGAUCAAAAUUGUUGAUAUGGAGGGUCCUUACUUUCCCGUUGGCCGGCCUAGAAGGGGUUUAUGUAAUGGUGUGAUCAAUUACCACCGCUUCAAGGUUGAUAUGUUUGUGGGUGUCAUUGAUAGGCAAAUCAGUGAGCUGAAUGGCAGAUUUGAUGAGGUAAACACGGAGCUACUUUCUUGCAUGGCAGCAUUCUGUCCACUUCAUCUAUUUGUUGCUUAUGACCAAGAUAAGUUGGUUAGGCUUGCUACAAAGUUUUAUGCUUCUGAUUUUACAAGUGAUGAACUGGCAAGACUUCCAUGGCAACUAAACAUAGAAUUUUUCAAUCAAGUGAAGGAUGAAGAUGUCAUCAAUCUCUUCCAAAAAGGCGACCGCAAACCUCCCAACCCUAGCCAGUUGCGCCUCCACAGAAAAGGAAUCGGUGGUGGAGAGGAUAGCUUGAACUCCGCAGGUCCUAGGCGUCGCCGCCGAAGAGAAAAACAACCCCAACAUGCCGAAGGGCACAUCAGCGCGGCGAGCACGCACGCGACUGCAAGUCUGCCCCCCGCCACCAAUCCCCUACCUUCUCUGCUUCGAGACGCACGCCACUCUCACCCGCGCUGUCGCUGGAUCAUGGAUGGCGGGGCAAAAGGGCCAAUACCUACGACACCAUGGCCCAUGUAUCUCUGUUGCCGACGCCUCAAAGACCAGCGUGGUGUUGUCCGGCAUCAGGUUGGCGCGGGAGAUCGCGUCGGCAGCCCGGGGAGUCGCGGCGUAGGAGGGCGAGCACGUGGGACCUGUAGCUCUGGUGCCGGACCUGCUCCUCCUGGAGGAAGGCCCGGAGUCGAGCCGCAGGAUUGCUUUCAACUUGAUCAACCUCUGCCCUUUUAUUCGUGGAAGAAGCAGCCGGUGAGGAUAACUGCUCUCCUUUUCAAUCUGCUAAUCGGCCUGCAGCGGUGCGACAACAACGGCGUGGCGCAGCCGACCACCACCAUGGAGAUGGGUGUGCAGGUCAUCGACGUGGGGUUGCUGCGCACGUAUGCCGAGGUGAUCAUCACGGGCGACGACUCGAGGAGGCCGACGAACAGGACGCCCUUAGACCGGCAUGGCGGGGGAGACUAUGUAGCACGCGUUGCUCUGGUUGCCCUGUAUCCUGGAUGCCGCCGACCACAGGGGCUCCGGCUGCACGUGUUUCCCGGCCGCCUCCGAGCAGGAGGGCUCUCGCGAUGUGUUGCUUUGUAUCCCGGCCACCGCGGACAGUGA
rnacentral:rRNA from 1 species